GAUCCUGGCUCAGGAUGAACGCUGGCGGCAUGCCUAAUACAUGCAAGUCGAACGAGAGGAAGGAAAGCUUGCUUUUCUGAAUCUAGUGGCUAACGGGUGAGUAACACGUAGGUAAUCUGCCCAUGUGCCCGGGAUAACUUCUGGAAACGGAUGCUAAAACCGGAUAGGUAGCAGACAAGCAUUUGACUGCUAUUAAAGUGGCCUUGGCCAUGAACAUGGAUGGACCUGCGGUG
rnacentral:rRNA from 1 species